UGAAUGUUCAAGAUGUGGAGACAGGA
rnacentral:piRNA from 1 species